GAUGAACGCUAGCUACAGGCUUAACACAUGCGAGUCGAGGGGAAACGACAUUGAAGCUUGCUUCGAUGGUCGUCGAUCGGCGCACGGGUGAGUAACGCGUAUCCAACCUGCCUCUGACCAAGGGAUAACCCGUCGAAAGUCGGCCUAAUACCUUAUGCAGUCGUCGGAAGUCAUCUGAUGACGACGAAAGAUUUCAUCGGUGAGAGAUGGGGAUGCGUCUGAUUAGCUUGUUGGCGGGGUAACGGCCCACCAAGGCAACGAUCAGUAGGGGUUCUGAGAGGAAGGUCCCCCACAUUGGAACUGAGACACGGUCCAAACUCCUACGGGAGGCAGCAGUGAGGAAUAUUGGUCAAUGGGCGAGAGCCUGAACCAGCCAAGUAGCGUGCAGGAUGACGGCCCUAUGGGUUGUAAACUGCUUUUAUGCGGGGAUAAAGUGAGGGACGUGUCCUUCAUUGCAGGUACCGCAUGAAUAAGGACCGGCUAAUUCCGUG
rnacentral:rRNA from 1 species